CCGCCCUUAGCUCAGAUGGUAGAGCGGCUCCCUUUUAAGGAGAUGGUCCCAGGUUCGAGCCCUGGAGGGCGGACCA
rnacentral:tRNA from 2 species